rnacentral:lncRNA from 1 species
UAGGCCUUAUCAGCCUGGGAGCCAGACCGAGCCCUUCCCAGAUGAGCCCCAGAGAGGCGAAGCCACUUGAGCUCGUGAGUGACAGUCAGAUGUCAAGCCCUGCUCUUUCUAAAGCGUGCUGCCUUCAGAAAAGAAGAGCCAGAAGGAUGGAAAUUACUUCAGAAAGAUGAAUACCAGCUUUGAAGGAAUAAAAGCUGACGAGGAAUUGAAGGAGUUGAGGCACGAGCUUGAACAGGGUUGCAUGUUUGGCCCUUGAUUGUAAAUGCCCAUUGCUGCACCUGUUCCUGUUACUUGGGGAGUUGCAGCAGAAGGAACAGCGGCCUGGGACUCCAGAGAACUGGGUUCCCUCUCAUCCCUCCAGGGCCACCACUUCUUGUGGGCCCUUGGGCAAGUCACUGUACUUUCUGAGUCUCAGUUUCCCCAUUUGCAGAAUGGAAAUAACUACCCCGGUCUACCAACUUAGAAGAAUUGCUUUGAGGAUCUGAUAAGGUGGUGUGGAUGAUGCUGCCUUGGGGGCUUUACAGUCUGGAGCUCAAGGGACCCCUUAAGUUGGGCUUACUUAGUAACUCCAGGGGUGGGCAGAACAGGACUCCAAUGAGGGUUUUUUUCUUUUUCCCUUUUUUUUCUUUUCCUAUCUCUUAACUUUUAUCUUUAUUAUUUUACAAUGCCCUUGUAAGAUGAAACAAGUGAUGCUGAAAUAUCUUUUUCUUUUUUAACCUUUAUUUUAGAAUUGGGGUACAUGUGCAGGUUUGUUACAUAGGUACAGUGUGGGCUGCUGAGGUUUGGGAGUACGAAUGAAUUAGUCACCCCAGUGGUGAGCAUAGUGCCCGAUAAGUGGUUUUUUCAACCCUUACUCCCAUCCCUCUCCAUUCUUGUGUUCCCCAGUGUCUGCUGUUCCCAUUUUUAUGACCAUGUGUACUCAAUGUUUAGCUCCCACUUAGAAGUAAGAACAUGCCCAGCACUUUGGGAGGCCGAGGUGGGUGGAUCAUGAGGUCAAGAGAUCGAGACCAUCUUGGCUAACAAAGUGAAACCCUGUCUCUACUAAAAACAUAAAAAAUUGGCCGGGUGUGGUGGUGGGCACCUGUAGUCCUAGCUACUCGGGAGGCUGAGACAGGAGAAUCGCCUGAACCGGGGAGGUGGAGGUUGCAGUGAGCUGAGAUUGUACCACUGCACUCCAGCCUGG